rnacentral:ncRNA from 1 species
AAGCGAGGAAAAGAAACUAACUAGGAUUCCUUAGUAAUGGCGAAUGAACAGGGAUCAGCUCAGUGCCAAAUCGGAAUCACUUGUGGUUCUGAAAUGUGGCUUGAAGGCAGUACCAGUGGCAUCGCGGACGAAAGUCUCUUGGAAAAGAGCGUCAUAGAGGGUGAGAAUCCCGUGAGUCGUUCGCCGUUUGUCACGUACGGUCUGCGUUCUAACGAGUCGCGUUCCUUGGGAUUGGAGCGUAAACGGGUGGUAAAUUUCAUCCAAAGCAAAAUAUAUACUCGAGACCGAUAGCACAAAAGUACCGUGAGGGAAAGGUGAAAAGAACUUUGAGAAGAGGGUUAAAUAGUGCCUGAAAUCGUUGAGAAGGAAGCGGAUGCCGCCGUUGCAUAUGCUGAUUGUAGGAUUGCUGCUCGCUCCUGUCUUCUGCUACUCAUUCACAGACCUGGUCGUGUUGAGCAGUUGUUUGGCAGAUGUUAGUGGUGUUUCCUACUUUCAGUCGUCAGCAUCACUGGCUGAGUGGAAAUAAUCCUUGGAUGCUAAUUGGUUCGCUAUCUGUGAAUUGGUUGCUUCCUUGCGAUACUCACUACUCGGUCAGUGAGGAAGUGCGUUUGCUGGUCAACGAGCUUUCUAACUGUCAUUACCCUGCGCUUUUCGAUUCGUCGAGUGGCCAGGAUGUGGCUUUGAGAUUGUUCGCACUUAGUAAUCGCGAUGCUGGCUUCCAACGGUUGCCUCCGGCCCGUCUUGAAACACGGACCAAGGAGUCUAACGUAUGUGCGAGUGUGUGAGUGGCAAACUUAUACGCGUAAUGAAAGUGAGGCCGUAUGGCCAUGUUGGGGUCACCAACAACCGACCUUGAUCUUCGGUGAAAGGUUUGAGUAUGAGCAUAUCCGUUAGGACCCGAAAGAUGGUGAACUAUGCCUGAGCAGGGUGAAGCCAGGGGAAACUCUGGUGGAGGCUCGUAGCGAUACUGACGUGCAAAUCGUUCGUCAGACUUGGGUAUAGGGGCGAAAGACUAAUCGAAC